UCAAGUGAAGAAGCGCAUACGGUGGAUGCCUUGGCAGUCAGAGGCGAUGAAAGACGUGGUAGCCUGCGAAAAGCUUCGGGGAGUCGGCAAACAGACUGUGAUCCGGAGAUAUCUGAAUGGGGGAACCCAGCCAUCAUAAGAUGGUUAUCUUGUACUGAAUACAUAGGUGCAAGAGGCGAACCAGGGGAACUGAAACAUCUAAGUACCCUGAGGAAAAGAAAUCAACCGAGAUUCCCUUAGUAGUGGCGAGCGAACGGGGACCAGCCCUUAAGUUGUAUUGAGAUUAGCGGAACGUUCUGGAAAGGACGGCCAUAGUGGGUGAUAGCCCUGUACGCGAAAAUCCCUUUGCAAUGAAAUCGAGUAGGACGGGGCACGAGAAACCUUGUCUGAAUAUGGGGGGACCAUCCUCCAAGGCUAAAUACUACUGACUGACCGAUAGUGAACCAGUACCGUGAGGGAAAGGCGAAAAGAACCGCGGAGAGCGGAGUGAAAUAGAUCCUGAAACCGUAUGCGUACAAGCAGUGGGAGCCCACUUUGUUGGGUGACUGCGUACCUUUUGUAUAAUGGGUCAGCGACUUAUUUUCAGUGGCGAGCUUAACCGAAUAGGGGAGGCGUAGCGAAAGCGAGUCUUAAUAGGGCGUCUAGUCGCUGGGAAUAGACCCGAAACCGGGCGAUCUAUCCAUGGGCAGGUUGAAGGUUGGGUAACACUAACUGGAGGACCGAACCGACUACCGUUGAAAAGUUAGCGGAUGACCUGUGGAUCGGAGUGAAAGGCUAAUCAAGCUCGGAGAUAGCUGGUUCUCCUCGAAAGCUAUUUAGGUAGCGCCUCAUGUAUCACUGUAGGGGGUAGAGCACUGUUUCGGCUAGGGGGUCAUCCCGACUUACCAAACCGAUGCAAACUCCGAAUACCUACAAGUGCCGAGCAUGGGAGACACACGGCGGGUGCUAACGUCCGUCGUGAAAAGGGAAACAACCCAGACCGUCAGCUAAGGUCCCAAAGUCAUGGUUAAGUGGGAAACGAUGUGGGAAGGCUUAGACAGCUAGGAGGUUGGCUUAGAAGCAGCCACCCUUUAAAGAAAGCGUAAUAGCUCACUAGUCGAGUCGGCCUGCGCGGAAGAUGUAACGGGGCUCAAACCAUGCACCGAAGCUACGGGUAUCAUCUUAUGAUGAUGCGGUAGAGGAGCGUUCUGUAAGCCUGUGAAGGUGAGUUGAGAAGCUUGCUGGAGGUAUCAGAAGUGCGAAUGCUGACAUGAGUAACGACAAUGGGUGUGAAAAACACCCACGCCGAAAGACCAAGGUUUCCUGCGCAACGUUAAUCGACGCAGGGUUAGUCGGUCCCUAAGGCGAGGCUGAAAAGCGUAGUCGAUGGAAAACAGGUUAAUAUUCCUGUACUUCUGGUUAUUGCGAUGGAGGGACGGAGAAGGCUAGGCCAGCCUGGCGUUGGUUGUCCAGGUUUAAGGUGGUAGGCUGAGAUCUUAGGUAAAUCCGGGAUCUUAAGGCCGAGAGCUGAUGACGAGUGUUCUUUUAGAACAUGAAGUGGUUGAUGCCAUGCUUCCAAGAAAAGCUUCUAAGCUUCAGGUAACCAGGAACCGUACCCCAAACCGACACAGGUGGUUGGGUAGAGAAUACCAAGGCGCUUGAGAGAACUCGGGUGAAGGAACUAGGCAAAAUGGCACCGUAACUUCGGGAGAAGGUGCGCCGGUGGAGGUGAAGCAUUUACUGCGUAAGCCCCUGCCGGUCGAAGAUACCAGGCCGCUGCGACUGUUUAUUAAAAACACAGCACUCUGCAAACACGAAAGUGGACGUAUAGGGUGUGACGCCUGCCCGGUGCCGGAAGGUUAAUUGAUGGGGUUAGCGCAAGCGAAGCUCUUGAUCGAAGCCCCGGUAAACGGCGGCCGUAACUAUAACGGUCCUAAGGUAGCGAAAUUCCUUGUCGGGUAAGUUCCGACCUGCACGAAUGGCGUAACGAUGGCGGCGCUGUCUCCACCCGAGACUCAGUGAAAUUGAAAUCGCUGUGAAGAUGCAGUGUAUCCGCGGCUAGACGGAAAGACCCCGUGAACCUUUACUAUAGCUUUGCACUGGACUUUGAAUUUGCUUGUGUAGGAUAGGUGGGAGGCUUUGAAGCGUGGACGCCAGUCUGCGUGGAGCCAACCUUGAAAUACCACCCUGGCAACUUUGAGGUUCUAACUCAGGUCCGUUAUCCGGAUCGAGGACAGUGUAUGGUGGGUAGUUUGACUGGGGCGGUCUCCUCCUAAAGAGUAACGGAGGAGUACGAAGGUGCGCUCAGACCGGUCGGAAAUCGGUCGUAGAGUAUAAAGGCAAAAGCGCGCUUGACUGCGAGACAGACACGUCGAGCAGGUACGAAAGUAGGUCUUAGUGAUCCGGUGGUUCUGUAUGGAAGGGCCAUCGCUCAACGGAUAAAAGGUACUCCGGGGAUAACAGGCUGAUACCGCCCAAGAGUUCAUAUCGACGGCGGUGUUUGGCACCUCGAUGUCGGCUCAUCACAUCCUGGGGCUGAAGCCGGUCCCAAGGGUAUGGCUGUUCGCCAUUUAAAGUGGUACGCGAGCUGGGUUUAGAACGUCGUGAGACAGUUCGGUCCCUAUCUGCCGUGGACGUUUGAGAUUUGAGAGGGGCUGCUCCUAGUACGAGAGGACCGGAGUGGACGAACCUCUGGUGUUCCGGUUGUCACGCCAGUGGCAUUGCCGGGUAGCUAUGUUCGGAAAAGAUAACCGCUGAAAGCAUCUAAGCGGGAAACUUGCCUCAAGAUGAGAUCUCACUGGAACCUUGAGUUCCCUAAAGGGCCGUCGAAGACUACGACGUUGAUAGGUUGGGUGUGUAAGCGCUGUGAGGCGUUGAGCUAACCAAUACUAAUUGCCCGUGAGGCUUGACCAU
rnacentral:rRNA from 1 species